UCUUCUGUUUUUUCUUAUUUUAUCUUACUUUACUUUUUCUUAUAUUUUUCUUUAAAAUUUUCUUUUCUUUUUCUUUCAGUUUCCCUUUUCCUUUUCUUUUCUUUUACUUUUUCUUUUACUUUAUUUUACUUUUUCCUUUUUUUUUUUUUUUUUUUUUUUUUUUUUUCUUUUUUUUUCUUUUUUUUUUCCCCUCUUAGUUCAGCCAAUCUCCGCCCCCCCCGGAGCUGCUCGGGCUCUGUGCGUGCCGCAGCGCGGUGCGGGGCCGCCUCCCGGUGGCUGCAGGCGGCACCGCGGGGGCGCCGCGUCCCGGGCCCGGCCCGGCCCUGCCCCAGCCGCCCGCGUCCUGUGCGGGGAUAACGGGGGGGGGUCCGGGGCUGCCACCUCGGAAGGCUGGGGGUGGCGGUGUCCCCUGGGCGGCUGUGGGACAGGCGUGCAGCGAAGGGGCUGGGUGGCGGCUCCUCGCCCUUGGGGUGGCCGCAUGGAUAGAUGCACAUCUCCAGGCUUCUCUUGCUGGGAACUGCUGGGUUAAGGCACAGAAAAUGGGUAAAAAUAAGGCCAACAGCUCCAGGGCUCUUCAGCCCCAUCUGCUGAGGCUGGGGGCAUCACCAACGCUGGGCUGAGCUGGGCUGAGCCUUGCACACCCAGCAGGACACAGAUUUGUUGGCAAUCCCCUCCUGCUGAAGCAGCCUCUCCUAAACACCAUCCUGAGCCUGUACACCUACUGCUACACCCUACGGCCAUGGGAUGCAAAUAACACCAGACAACCUGUCCUGGAUGGGCUGCCCACUUCAGCCUGGCUCAGGACAAGCGCAAGGCUCAAAUCAUGCAUGACCCCCUCCAGUGCCUUGGCUGUGCAGGUGGAGCUGCACCCCAUCCCUUUGCAGCCCAGGAGCAGCAGAGCUGGAGGAUUCGCAGCCCCGGUGGUGUUAAAGCUCUGCAGGUUGUGUUUUCCCAGUGCACCCCUUUGUCUGGGUGACCCAGGACUCAGGGAACAGAUGGAAUUUGCCCACAAGCUGGGCGGAGGAGCACAGACAUGUUCCGGGCCCAGAUUCGAUUUGAACGGAGGAAACCUUGAGGGAUGGAUAAUAGAAUUUGCAUCCUCGCCUUUGAAGCAUCCCUCGGAUGAGGGCCGUGGCCCCGUGUGAGACCUGUGGCUGCAAUGCCUUGCGUGAGGCAGAGAUGCAUACAGCAGAGAGGCCUCCUCACCUCCGUCAGCCUUGGAAAGCUGUGUUAAAGGUAGGGGAGAUGGAAACUGCUCUGGGUAGCUGCGAACACACAACGUGAUUGCAAACAGCUAUUGCAAAGCCUCUGCCCCAGUGCUUCCCCCCACUGCAGCUGGGCUGGGGGCUCCAAGGGUCCCUUCUGCCCCCGGCAGCCAUACAGAUGUCUCCCACACAUGGAGCACUGGGUUUCAGCUCCAACAUCUGCACGGGACAGCAACAGUCCUGGUGGGGGCUUGGUCCCCGAGAGCUCCCCGGGAAUUUUCCUGCUAGCACCGAGCUCUGCUCCCCUCCUGCCACGUCGGGGCUGCGCUCACCUGGGGUGGGAUAGGCAGGGCAGGCUCGUGCUGCGCCGUGCAGCUGGUUGAAUUUUCUUUACUUUCUUGGAAGCUCAGAGCAAAACAGUUAUUUUAGUUGUUGCAACAGUUCCCUUUUGUUUUUGCUUUGCUGACCAAAGCAGAUGGUUUUCAAAAACUUCAGGAAAAAUCUUCUGGUUUGCAUUACAGAAAACAAAACAAA
rnacentral:lncRNA from 1 species